rnacentral:rRNA from 1 species
AGAGUGAACGCUGGCGGCAGGCCUAACACAUGCAAGUCGAACGGCAGCACAGGGGAGCUUGCUCCCUGGGUGGCGAGUGGCGGACGGGUGAGGACAACGUCGGAAUCUGCCUUUUUGUGGGGGAUAACGUAGGGAAACUUACGCUAAUACCGCAUACGACCCCAGGCCGGGAGGUUUGGGUGAAAGCGGAGGACCUUCGGGCUUCGCGCAGAAAGAUGAGCCGACGUCGGAUUAGCUAGUUGGUGGGGUAAAGCCCACCAAGGCGACGAUCCGUAGCUGGUCUGAGAGGAUGAUCAGCCACACUGGAACUGAGACACGGUCCAGACU